rnacentral:rRNA from 1 species
CCUACGGGCGGCUGCAGUGGGGAAUAUUGGACAAUGGGGGCAACCCUGAUCCAGCCAUGCCGCGUGUGUGAAGAAGGCCCUCGGGUUGUAAAGCACUUUCAGUGAGGAAGAACGCCUGGUGGUUAAUACCCAUCAGGAAAGACAUCACUCACAGAAGAAGCACCGGCUAACUCCGUGCCAGCAGCCGCGGUAAUACGGAGGGUGCGAGCGUUAAUCGGAAUUACUGGGCGUAAAGCGCGCGUAGGUGGCUUGAUAAGCCGGUUGUGAAAGCCCCGGGCUCAACCUGGGAACGGCAUCCGGAACUGUCAAGCUAGAGUGCAGGAGAGGAAGGUAGAAUUCCCGGUGUAGCGGUGAAAUGCGUAGAGAUCGGGAGGAAUACCAGUGGCGAAGGCGGCCUUCUGGACUGACACUGACACUGAGGUGCGAAAGCGUGGGUAGCGAACAGGAUUAGAUACCCGUGUAGUC